GGGCCCGCACAAGCGGUGGAGUAUGUGGUUUAAUUCGAUGCAACGCGAAGAACCUUACCAGGGUUUGACAUCCUGCGAAUCUCUUGGAAACAGGAGAGUGCCUUCGGGAACGCAGUGACAGGUGGUGCAUGGCUGUCGUCAGCUCGUGUCGUGAGAUGUUGGGUUAAGUCCCGCAACGAGCGCAACCCUCAUCUUUAGUUGCCAGCAGUUCGGCUGGGCACUCUAGAGAAACUGCCUGGGAUGACCAGGAGGAAGGCGAGGAUGACGUCAAGUCCUCAUGGCCCUUAUGGGCUGGGCUACACACGUGCUACAAUGGCGGUUACAAUGGGAAGCAAUAGGGUGACCUGGAGCUAAUCCCCAAAAGCCGUCUCAGUUCGGAUUGUUCUCUGCAACUCGAGAACAUGAAGUCGGAAUCGCUAGUAAUCG
rnacentral:rRNA from 1 species